AAAGCAAACCGAUAUGGUUGCCUCACUGUUUCAAUACAGCGAGGAGGAAAGUCCGAGCUCCAAAGGAUAAUGCAUCCUGGUAAUGCGGGACAAGCAAGAAUAUGGUAAAUAUCUUCUUGCCUGGAUUAGAGCCACAGUGACGAUGCUUGCAAUAAUUGUCAAAAAUUAUUGCUUGAGUGAAACGAGCAAUCUCUGCAUGGAGCAAUGCCAAAUAGGAAGAGAAUUGAUAAGUGAUAAGUACUUAGUGCUUAUUGCUUAUAAUGCGAAUCGAUCCGGUUCGUUUGAAUCUUCGGGUAGGCUGCAAGAGUUUGAAUGAGCAAUCUUCAAAGUGAGUUGAAUAACCAUAGGUUUCUAAAGAGCGAUUUGUAUUUUUAGUUUAAGUGUUAAAGCAUGUAUAAGCUAAAGAUAUGAAUGCUCAAAUGAUACUUACAGAACUCGGCUUAUUGGUUUGCUUUAUAA
rnacentral:RNase_P_RNA from 1 species